rnacentral:rRNA from 1 species
GACGAACGCUGGCGGCGUGCCUAAUACAUGCAAGUAGAACGCACAGUUUAUACCGUAGCUUGCUACACCAUAGACUGUGAGUUGCGAACGGGUGAGUAACGCGUAGGUAACCUGCCUGGUAGCGGGGGAUAACUAUUGGAAACGAUAGCUAAUACCGCAUAAUAUUAAUUAUUGCAUGAUAAUUAAUUGAAAGGUGCAAUUGCACCACUACCAGAUGGACCUGCGUUGUAUUAGCUAGUAGGUGAGGUAACGGCUCACCUAGGCGACGAUACAUAGCCGACCUGAGAGGGUGAUCGGCCACACUGGGACUGAGACACGGCCCAGACUCCUACGGGAGGCAGCAGUAGGGAAUCUUCGGCAAUAGACGAACGUCUGACCGAGCAACGCCGCGUGAGUGAAGAAGGUUUUCGGAUCGUAAAGCUCUGUUGUAAGAGAAGAACGGGUGUGAGAGUGGAAAGUUCACACUGUGACGGUAUCUUACCAGAAAGGGACGGCUAACUACGUG